AACGAACGCUGGCGGCGUGCCUAACACAUGCAAGUCGAACGAGAAAUCCUGGGCAACUGGGAGAGUAAAGUGGCGCACGGGUGAGUAACGCGUGGGUAACCUACCCUUAAAUUGGGGAUAACUCUUCGAAAGGGGAGUUAAUACCGAAUAAUAUUCUAAUUCUCUCGGGAGUUGGAUUCAAAGGUGGCCUCUGCAUGCAAGCUAUCGUUUAAGGAUGGGCCCGCGUACCAUUAGCUAGUUGGUAGGGUAAUAGCCUACCAAGGCAACGAUGGUUAGCUGGUCUGAGAGGAUGGCCAGCCACACUGGAACUGAGACACGGUCCAGACUCCUACGGGUGGCUG
rnacentral:rRNA from 1 species